CGCGUAGGCGGUCUCUAAAGUCAGAUGUGAAAGCCCGGGGCUUAACCCUGGAAGUGCAUUUGAAACUUAGGGACUUGAGUAUGGGAGAGGGAAGUGGAAUUCCUGGUGUAGCGGUGAAAUGCGUAGAUAUCAGGAGGAACACCAGUGGCGAAGGCGACUUCCUGGACCAAUACUGACGCUGAGGCGCGAAGGCGUGGGGAGCAAACA
rnacentral:rRNA from 1 species